rnacentral:rRNA from 1 species
GUGGCGACCGGCGCACGGGUGAGUAACGCGUAUGCAACCUACCUAUCAGAGGGGAAUAACCCGGCGAAAGUCGGACUAAUACCGCAUAAAACAGGGACACCGCAUGGUGAUAUUUGUUAAAGAAAUUCGCUGAUAGACGGGCAUGCGUUCCAUUAGGUAGUUGGUGAGGUAACGGCUCACCAAGCCGACGAUGGAUAGGGGAACUGAGAGGUUGGUCCCCCACAUUGGUACUGAGACACGGACCAGACUCCUACGGGAGGCAGCAGUGAGGAAUAUUGGUCAAUGGGCGAGAGCCUGAACCAGCCAAGUCGCGUGAAGGAAGAAGGAUCUAUGGUUCGUAAACUUCUUUUGCAGGGGAAUAAAGUGCGGGACGUGUCCUGUUUUGUAUGUACCCUGAGAAUAAGGAUCGGCUAACUCCGUGCCAGCAGCCGCGGUAAUACGGAGGAUCCGAGCGUUAUCCGGAUUUAUUGGGUUUAAAGGGUGCGUAGGUGGUUUUAUAAGUCAGCGGUGAAAGUUUGCAGCUUAACUGUAAAAAUGCCGUUGAAACUGUAAGACUUGAGUGUAAAUGAGGUAGGCGGAAUGCGUGGUGUAGCGGUGAAAUGCAUAGAUAUCACGAAGAACUCCGAUUG